AGAGAUGUGUGAUGACGCAUAUCAAUAAGCGGAGGAAAAGAAACUAACAAGGAUUCCCUUAGUAACGGCGAGUGAAGCGGGAAGAGCUCAAAUUUGAAAUCUUCAAGGUUCUACCUUGACGAAUUGUAGUUUAUAGAAGUGUUUUCUGUUAGUAGAGUGGCGAAAGUUCUUUGGAAUAGGACAUCAUAGAGGGUGAGAAUCCCGUAUUUGGUCAUUCUUUCUAGCUUUGUGAUACACUUUCAACGAGUCGGAUUGUUUGGGAAUGCAGUCCAAAAUGGGUGGUAAAUUUCAUCUAAAGCUAAAUAUUGGCGAGAGACCGAUAGCGAACAAGUACCGUGAGGGAAAGAUGAAAAGAACUUUGAAAAGAGAGUUAAACAGUACGUGAAAUUGUCAAAAGGGAAGCGUUUGACACCAGUGUUGUUUUUCCCGAAAAUCAAUUACGAAUGUUUUAUUUUUGAGAAGUUAUGACUUCAUCGGCUUGCUUCUCUCUUUAUGAAACUUUCUUAAUGCACUUUUCGGUUAACAAGUCAACAUCAAUUUCUUUUGUUGUAAAAGGGUAUGAGGAAGGUGGCUUUCUUUUCGGAGAAAGUGUUUAUAGCCUUGUACCUCUGCAAUCGGAGAGAUUGAGGUCUGCAGCGUAGAUCCUUCGGGGUUAGAUACAUUUGUGCUAAGUUAUAGCUUUUCAUAGACAACUUGUUGACUAUGCUUAGUCUUGUAGCUUACUCGCUUAUGCUAUUUUACCUACGCUUAGGAUGUUGAGUCGUAGAGCACGCAG
rnacentral:rRNA from 1 species